UACGGAGGGGGCAAGCGUUGUUCGGAAUUACUGGGCGUAAAGGGCGCGUAGGCGGCCUGUUAAGUCGGACGUGAAAUCCCCGGGCUCAACCCGGGAACUGCGUCCGAUACUGGCAGGCUUGAAUUCGGGAGAGGGAUGCGGAAUUCCAGGUGUAGCGGUGAAAUGCGUAGAUAUCAGGAGGAACACCUGUGGUGAAGACAGCUUACUGGACCACUUCUGACGCUGAGACACGAAAGCGUGGGUAGCAAACAGG
rnacentral:rRNA from 1 species